AAUCCAAGUGUUCAAACGAUUAAGAACUGGGUUAUUAAGUUCGAAGAGAGAGGUUCGACGUUGGAUAAACAACGGUCAGGUCAUCACAGACGGAAGAAAACAUCGAUAAAGUGAAACACUCAAUUCGUGAAAAUCCCACCCAGUCUACUCGUAAGCGUUCCAGUGCAUUGACCGAGAACUUUUUUGCACCAGAAUUGCAGAAUUUUCCAGGCUUCAAUACGCAGACCUGAUUUCAACAAGAUGGAGCAACCGCACAUGCCUCUUACGUCGCUAUGCCGGUCGUCCGUCAACUUUUCCCUAGUAAAGUGAUCUCUCGAAGACGAGAUAUUCCUUGGCCACCACGUAGUCCAGAUCUGACCCCAAUGGACUUUUUCUUAUGGGGUUAUCUUAAGAAUAAAGUGUACGAAACCAACCCGCGGUCAGUUGACACCCUGAAGGAAAAAAAUCCAAAGAGAAAUGGCAAACAUUACAGAGCUUACUUGCCGCGCAAAGGUGGAUAAUUUUAAACGUCGCUUACAGGAGUACUGCGAUCGUAACGGAUUACAUUUAGAUGAUGUAAUUUUCAAAAAAUAAUUCCCAUUUUAUAAGGAUUAUGAAAAAAUAAAAAACUUUUUCAUAAUGUCAUUAGUUUUUUUUUAUUUAUUUUUUUACAUUUCAAGGGAUUAUUAUUUUCAUUGUUAUACAGGGUGGUCCAUAACACCCUGUAUAACAAAAAUCACACCUAUACGGUCUAUAUUACAUAAUGUUAUUAGUUUACUUUGUUGUUUAUUGUUUCCUCUUCUUAUGUUACCAUCUGCCUUCUGGGUUCUGGCAGAAUCAACAGCGUUAUGAGUCCACUGACUCAUGACAUAUGCUGAGCCAGAACCUUUUACAGUCAAGUAUAUUUCUAGGGCAGGCGGAAAUUCAUACAAUGACACGAAGUAUUAUUUUAUCAUCAAAAUAAAACGAUACCUAUCGCUUUUCAUACACUACUUUAUCGUUUACGCAGCGUACCGCUUUUCAUGGUACAAGGUGAGGUCAGAGGUGAGCGACGCGGUCGUUCAGAGAUAACAAACUUGUUUUGACAUGUCUGGAUGAGGUGCAGAUUAAGAAGCACAGCGACACGCAUUCACGCAUCUCGCUUUGAAAUGCGCUUGCGUGUGGACAGUUUGAGUUUGGAUAUUUUCGAUAAUUUAAAUUAUUGUUUUUUUGUUAUUGUUUUCUGUUAAGUUUUAUUUUGUUGUUAAGUUUUGUGUGAGAAUUGGUUUUUCGCUGGACUUGUUCAAAUAAGUGUUAUAUUUUUUAAACGAUAUGGAGUCGGGUCCUUCAACAUCAAAAACAUUUAAAGACUUUAGGUCACCAAGAAAGAAGCGCAAGAUAACGCAUAUUUUCGAAAAUGAAAAAACAAUGAUUGUAAAUGGUUUUAAGUAUGUACAAGAAACGUGGCCCACUGACAAAUAUGCGUCAAAAACGGAUAUGAAAAAGAAGACGGCUGAUAUUUUGGGCAUUGAAAAAACCUCUCUCUACCGUGUUCUAAAAUCUAAAGGAAUAUAAAGAAACGAACACCGUGACGCCUCCUGCUCUGCCAAAAAAAAAAAUCUGAUUUGAUUGCGAGUGUGUAUGAGUUUGAUAAGUCGUGCAUCAGAAAAAAAAGUGCAUGAGUUUUAUUUAAGGGGCGAGAUACCCAAUUUAAAUAAAAUACUGGAAGCGGUCAAUUCGGACGAAAUGCUACCCAAUUUCAGCCGUACAUCACUUUGGUGCCUGUUAAGACAUUUAAAAUUUAAAUACGUGAAAAAGAAAGGAAACAGCGCUUUAAUUUAAAGGCAUGAUAUUGUUUUAUGGCGCAUCAAGUACCUUAAACAAAUAAAGAAGUUUCGAGAUGGAGGACGACCAAUAUAAUAUUUGGACGAGACUUGGGUUAAAGCAGGUCAUACAGUUAGUAAAGCGUGGGAGGAUACGACAGUGAAAUCUGCAAAACAAGCCUUUUUAGAAGGCUUGCCAACGGGAGCCAAGAAUCCAACAGGCAAAGGAAAUCGUUUAACUGUCGUACACAUAGGAAGCGAGAAGGGUUUUCUGCCAGGAUUUCUGUGGAUUUUUGAAAAUAAAGCGACAGGGGAUUACCACGAGACCAUGAACGCCGAAGGUUUUGAAAAAUGGUUCGAAGAUAUUUUAAAAAAAGUCGAACCAAAUGCUGUCAUCGUGAUGGACAAUGCAAGCUAUCAUUCGAGACGUCAAGAACGAUUGCCGGUCACAAGCUGGAGAAAACUUAAUAUUCAAGAAUGGCUUUCCUCAAAAACGUCGCAUAUGAAGAAAAAGAAACUAAAACGGAAUUACUUGCAAAAGUAAAAGAUGUAAAAGAUAGGUAUCUAUGUCACAGACGAAAUGGCAAAACAGGUUGGUAUUGAAGUGCUACGCUUGCCGCCGUACCACUGCGAGCUUAAUCCUAUUGAGCUGGUGUGGGCGGAUGUAAAAAACUACGUAGCCCAAAAUAACACAACUUUUAAAAUGGUAGAUGUCAAAAGGUUAUUUGAGGAAGGCCUGAAUAACAUUGAUCAGGCAAAAUGGAAAAACUGUGUCGACCACGUGAUAAAGGAGGAAACGAUAUGGACUAUAUGGACUUGACCAUGCAGCGGAUAAAACUGUCAUUAUUAAUGUGACUGAUUCUUCCACGUCUUCGUCAUCAGAAAACGAUAGUGAAACCAGUGACGAUGAAGGAAAUUCACCACUACAUUAAUUUCAAAUUAUAUAAAUAUACAAGUAUUAUUAA